UGAGUAACGCGUGGGAAACGUACCUUUUGCUACGGAAUAACUCAGGGAAACUUGUGCUAAUACCGUAUGUGCCCGAAAGGGGAAAAGAGUUUAUCGGCAAAGGAUCGGCCCGCGUUGGAUUAGCUAGUUGGUGAGGUAAAGGCCUACCAAGGCGACGAUCCAUAGCUGGUCUGAGAGGAUGAUCAGCCACACUGGGACUGAGACACGGCCCAGACUCCUACGGGAGGCAGCAGUGGGGAAUAUUGGACAAUGGGCGCAAGCCUGAUCCAGCCAUGCCGCGUGAGUGAUGAAGGCCCUAGGGUUGUAAAGCUCUUUCACCGGUGAAGAUAAUGACGGUAACCGGAGAAGAAGCCCCGGCUAACUUCGUGC
rnacentral:rRNA from 1 species